rnacentral:misc_RNA from 1 species
GGAUCAUUGUCGAAACCUGCACAGCAGAACGACCCGCGGACACGUUCAAUCGACGGGUGCGGGGACCGGGCGAAUUUAUCCGUCCGGCCCUCCCCCACGCCGGCCCGCGCGCGGCUCCUCCCUCCCCGCUCACUCGACGCCUCGGCGCGAUGGGGCUUGCGGGGGACUCCCGUGCGCGGCCGGCUCCAACUACGAACCCGGCGCGGACUGCGCCAAGGAAACUAAAACAAGGAGCGUGCUCCCCCCGGGGGCACCUCUGCGAUAAAACACUAUAACGACUCUCGGCAACGGAUAUCUCGGCUCUCGCAUCGAUGAAGAACGCAGCGAAAUGCGAUACCUGGUGUGAAUUGCAGAAUCCCGUGAAUCAUCGAGUCUUUGAACGCAAGUUGCGCCCGAGACCAUUAGGUCGAGGGCACCCCUGCCUGGGCGUCACGCGUUGCGUCGCCCCCCCACCCCCGUACCUCCGGGCACGGGUCGGGAUCGGGGCGGAUGUUGGCUUCCCGCGCAUCCCCUGCUCGGUUGGCUGAAAAAAGCAGUCUCCGUGGCACGGUACUCGACGGUUGGUGGAUGACACACAGUAUUGUCCCAUCGUCUCCCCGGCGCCACAGAGCGAACUGCGACGACCCUAGAACCGUGUCCACCUCGAGGUGGGCAUCGA